AGAAAUAAUUGCAGCGGAACUUCAGGCACUGUAUGAAUCAAAGAUUAUAACAAAGGAACAGCAAAAGUACUUACUGGGACCGAAACCACCGCGGCCCAGAUAUUUUUACCUUCUCCCAAAAAUACAUAAACCAAGGAGAAAAUGGACAAUCCCGGAUCGCAUCCCACCUGGCCAACCUAUAGUGUCGGAUUGUGGUAGUGAGAGUUAUGGGGUAGCGGAGUACUUGGAGCACUAUUUGACCCCCCUGUCAACACAACAUCCUAGCUACAUAAAGAACACUCAGCACUUCUUGUCCAAAAUUGGAGCAUUGACAGUGAAGGAACCUUGUUUUCUCUUUACGAUGGAAGUGUGCAGUUUAUACACAAAUAUUGAAAUCCCACGGGGGAUGGGGGCCAUCCGGAAAGUACUAGCACGUCACCCGGACCCAAACCGACCGGAUGACGUCCUUUUCAGACUUUUGGAAAUUAGUCUCACGAGGAAUGAUUUUGUUUUUCAGAAUAAAUUUUAUUUACAGGUCAAGGGAACGGCGAUGGGGAAACGGUUCGCACCAGCAUAUGCAAAUAUAUACAUGGCAGAAUGGGAGGAGGAAGGGUUUAAAAAGUGCAAGCAACUGCCCCUGAUAUACCUGAGGUAUUUGGAUGACAUCUGGGGGGUCUGGACACGGUCGAGGGAGGACUUUGACAACUGGGUAACGAUUAUGAAUGAACACCACGAGUCAAUCAAAGUAGAGGUGACCACACAUGACACGGAAAUAAACUUCCUUGAUACAACGACCUUCAAGGGCCCGAAUUUUUGGGAGACGGGAAGAUUGGACACGAAGAUGUACUUCAAACCGACGGACUCCCAUUCACUUCUCCAUAAAAAAAGUUUUCACCCGAAACAUGUAUUUAGGGGGAUUGUGAAAUCACAGCUGUUACGGUACUCCCGCAUCUGUACACAGAAGCAGGACUGUGAGGAUGCGAGGAAGGUACUGUUUGCAGCCCUGAGAAAGAGAGGUUACUCAAGGGGUUUCCUCCGGGGAAUUAAUAAGUCCUUGGAUCAAGCUCCAACACGGGAGAAAACACAGGGGAAACACGGAGUCCCUUUAGUGGUUACUUACUCCACUUUCGGAAAACAGGUAACCCGGGUAUUACGGAGAAAUUUUGGGAGGAUCCUGAAAGGUACAGCAUUGGAUAGAACAUUUAGGGUGAUCCCAGCCUACAGGGGCAACCCGACCUUAAAACAACUGUUGGUACGGGCAAAAUUGCCGGAAAAGACCGGGAGGGGGACCUCAAAGAUCCGAAAAUAUACAUCAAUAAAGGACCCUGUUACGAAACAUGGAUUUAGGGUACCGAACCAUAUCCCGCAAACACAAGCUAACUGUGUUUACAUUAUCAAAUGUACUAAAUGUGGGAAAUUCUAUGUAGGGGAGAUGGGUAACGGUUUGAACACCAGACUCACCCAACACAAAUAUACAAUAAGGAAGAACCAGGAACAAAAAUCGCAUUUAAUCACUCAUUUUCAGGACCACGGGAUUAGAAAUUUCACCGGGUAUCCACUGGAACACGAUCCGAACUGGACGACAGCUCAGAGAAGGAGAAGGGAGAGGUAUUGGAUUCACAAGCUCCAUAGUUAUUACCCAGUGAGGCUCAACGAACGACGCCCAGGGUUGUCAUCGGAAUAGACAAACUCAGGACAAGGGGAAGGAAAAACAAAGGGAACGCUGGUUUCCUUGGACCCUAGAAAGGGAACGCGGGUUUCCUUGGAUCCUAGAAACGGACUGGGUAUCCUGAAGUCGGGAGAGAGAUAAAGUACAGGGGUUUGGGUUCGUGAUAUUUGCUUGUAAUUUGUGGUUGAAAUUAUUCGGACAUGGUUAAUAUUAACACUUAUAAUUCUAUGAGCACCUUGGGA
ensembl:lncRNA